rnacentral:rRNA from 1 species
CCUACGGGAGGCAGCAGUGGGGAAUUUUUCGCAAUGGGCGCAAGCCUGACGAAGCAACGCCGCGUGAGGGAUGAAGGCCCUAGCGGUCGUAAACCUCUGUCUAGCGGGACGAAAAACAUCACAGCAAAUAGUUGUGGUGAUUGACUGUACCGCUGGAGGAAGCUCCGGCCAACUCCGUGCCAGCAGCCGCGGUAAU